GAAUAUUAGUCAAUGCUCGAAAGAGUGAACUAGCUAACUGAAAUCAAUUAUAAAAAUUGAUAACAUAAGGGAAAAUAAUGAUAUUACCUUAUUAUUAGUGUCGUCCAAAACUGGUGCCAGAAGACUCGGUAAGGCCAGAGACAUAAACGUUAAUCGUCUUAAUCAGGCGUAAAGGGUUUGUAGGCGGCUUUUAAUUUUACUUAUUUCUUUUUUUGUUUUGUUUUGUUAAUUUUAAUUAAAAAAACAAAUUUUUUUAUAAGUAAAGAAUAAAAGCUAGAAUCAAAUAGAGGAUAUAUUAAAUAAUGCUUAGAGUAGGUCUGAUAUCCUUAGAUACUAAGUAGAAUAUUAAAGGCGAAAGCUUUUUUCCAUUAAUGAUUGACGCUCAGAAACGAAGGUGAGGAUAGGAAAUAGGAUUAGAUACCCAAAAUACCCCUCUCUGUCAACGAUGAAUGGUAGUUAUUAGUAUUAAAUUUAUUAAUGACAAUGUUAACACGAUAACCAUUCCGCCUUGUGAGUACAACUGCAAAGUUGAAAACAAAAAAAUUAGUCGGUUUCGGAGCAAACGAAGUGAAGCAUGUUAUUU
rnacentral:rRNA from 1 species